CACGCCCUAAACGAUGCAUAUUUGGUGUGGGCCGUUCAGUCGGUCCGUGCCGGAGCUAACGCGUUAAAUAUGCCGCCUGGGGAGUACAGUCGCAAGGCUGAAACUCAAAGGAAUUGACGGGGGCCCGCACAAGCGGUGGAGCAUGUGGUUCAAUUCGACGCAACGCGAAGAACCUUACCUGGGCUCGAACGGCUGGUCAACGAUCGUGGAAACACGGUUACCCCGCAAGGGGGUCCAGUCGAGGUGCUGCAUGGCUGUCGUCAGCUCGUGUCGUGAGAUGUUGGGUUAAGUCCCGCAACGAGCGCAACCCUCGUCCUGUGUUGCUCAAUCCGCAAGGAUCGCACUCGCAGGAGGCCGCCAGCGAUAAGUUGGAGGAAGGUGGGGAUGACGUCAAGUCCUCAUGGCCUUUAUGUCCAGGGCUACACACGUGCUACAAUGGCCGGUACAAAGCGUUCCCAAGCCGCGAGGUGGAGGCAAUCGCAAAAAACCGGUCUCAGUUCGGAUUGCAGGCUGCAACUCGCCUGCAUGAAGCUGGAAUCGCUAGUAAUGGCAGAUCAGCAUGCUGCCGUGAAUACGUUCCCGGGCCUUGCACACACUGCCCGUACGAAACGACGUCAC
rnacentral:rRNA from 1 species